AUGGUGAGCCAAGAACAAUUUGAAAAGUUACUGCUUCACAUGAACAUUUCACUAGACAAGAACAAUCACAAAAAGGGACACAACACAUACAUUUCUGUAAAAUAUAAUGCGAACAUAGUCUCCUUGCGAGAAUUGCGUCUCAAGAUCCUUGCAAGCCGCUGCAGCAAUAUCCAUAUAGAUCACACGCUUCACGAUAAGAUAGAGAGACUGAAUUUUCGAUCCAGGAAUGGUAUUUCUUACCAUUGA